rnacentral:rRNA from 1 species
GUCUCAGUUCGGAUUGGAGUCUGNAACCCGACUCCAUGAAGCUGGAUUCGCUAGUAAUCGCGCAUCAGCCAUGGCGCGGUGAAUACGUUCCCGGGCCUUGUACACACCGCCCGUCAAGCCAUGGGAGCCGGGGGUGCCUGAAGUACGUGACCGCGAGGAGCGUCCUAGGGCAAAACUGGUGACUGGGGCUAAGUCGUAACAAGGUACC